rnacentral:lncRNA from 1 species
UGCCAAAUGGAGCUCAAAACGAGAGAGAUAGAGAGUGAGUUACUGACUCGGGUCACGGACAGUGGUUUUGACAGUGUAGCCACGUUGAAGCAAAAGCUUAACUAGCCAUGAAGCUAUGUAACCUGACCCUCCCGUGACACACACCACCUUGCCGUCCCCACCUCUGCUCAUCCUCUCUGUGGCAGUGGCGACUGCCCGGUAACUGACAAGAGAGCUUAUUCCUUCGUAGAAUGUUAAUAGGUGAAGCAAAACUUCAGAACAUGCUCUUUUUUUGGAUGCACUUUAUCCUUAGAGCAGUCAAUGAGUUUAAUUUUCAAGCACAUCAUUUCGACGGCUGAGACCAUCUUCCCGGAAGCUCACAUCUUUUCUGUAUCUUCAACAUAACCUAACAGUCUGCGAUAAUUUAUUGUUUUUGGUUCUCUCUUCAGUCAUUCUCUUGGACUGGGUAAACAAUAUAGCAGCAUUGAAAAAUCAAAGCUUGUGCAAGCUAUCACCCUCCCCAUCAGGGGCGGAGCUUCCAAUAGUUGACAAUGGAGGCCAAAAUUAAUAUAAUAGGUUAUAUUAUUAAAAAAACUAAUUUAUUUAAAAUAAAAAAAUACUAUAUUCCAUAUUUAAAUACUAAAUAAUAAAAAAAUUUAAAAUAUUUUACUGGCCGAUCCUGCUUGCCUCCCCUAGAUCCGCCCCUGCUCUCCAUGGUUGCUUGGACCAGUCAAAGGAGAUAAGGAGAAUGCGAUGGCUUGCGUGCAUGGCACAUAUUUGUCUGUUUAUAUGCUUGGACCAAUCUGUUUAUAUGGUUAUUGAGAUUUGAGAAUAUUUAAACUGAAAUAAAAAUUUAUAAUAAUAUUUAAGAACUAUAUUAAAAUUAAAAAAUAAAUGAAUCCAGUAAAUUUUACGUGGGGUUGUAAAAAAACAAAACAAAGAGGUAGGCCCUAACUCUUGGCCCACCAGCACAUGACGCUUGACCUUGUUUUAUUUUUCUGAAAAAUUGCGACGGAGAAUAUCUAGUCUAUUAUUAUUAUCACAAUUUCGAAAAAAAAAAAAAGACACCCUCGCGCUAGUGAUCCAUUGCUUGACACUGCCUCACCAACCGACCGAGCUGAGACUAGAAUUUAUUAUAAAAUGAAUAAAAAAACAUAUUAAGGAUUCAUGUUGUUUUAUUGUUUGAUGGUUAUUUAUUUGCUUCAGACAAACAAGUUUUCGUGAAUCAUAAUAUAAUUGAGUUGCAAAAUCACUUCAUCACAGCAAACAAGGCAAACUAAGCUCCUGACCUGACAAGAAAUGGGCUUGAAACACACAUAUUCUACAAAUUAUGCUUGAUUUAUUUUCAGGAUGCAUAUAAAGUUAUACCGCUAGUAGCUAUAGGAUCAACUCAUUAUGAAAUAGAUGUAAAAACCCUGAGGAGUUGUGUUUUGGAGGUGUUUUUAAUUCGUUUUUCCUGUGCUGUUGUUUUGACAUACCAAUUCCUGAUUUCAUAUUGCUGACCGAUGACUAACCUCCCACCUUAAACAUAAGGAAAAAUAAAAUAAAAUUUUGUUAUGUUUUUUUUUAAUUAAUAAUUUUUUUUAAAAAAUUAUCUUUUAAUAUUAAAUUUAUUUUUUAUUGGUUAUCCCAUUCUCAUUAUAUAUAUCGUGAAUUUAAUAGGUUAACUCAUUUUUUUUCUUAAUUAGCUUUUCUCCCUCCAAUUUUAUCUUUUAAUUUUGAGUUGAUGGAGAAUUAGGCUUCAAGACUUGUUUUGUUUGUUUUUUAUUAGGUUAUUUUAGCCUCGUAACUCAAAAAUAUUGCUUAAUGGGUUCACCUGAGUUUACUCGGGUUAUUUUUUAUGUCAUCUUAUAUAUAUAUAUAUAUUAAUUUCAUCAUUUAACAUUGGGUCGGUUAGUAACCAAGUUUCAUAAUCUAUCUCAAUUUGCUUUAUAUAAGGAUAUCUUAGUCUAAUGAUCAAUGUCAUAGGUUUUGGUAUUUUUACCCUUGUUAAAUCAAAUUGUUUUGUUUUUGUUUUUUCUAAGAGGUUAUCUCGGUCUCAUAACCUAGAUCACAAGUUUUUCAACAUUGAAUUUGCUUUUUAUUGGGUUGUCUUCAUCUCAUGACCCAUGUCAUAAGUUUGAUGAGUUAACCAAAUUGACUCAAUUUGUUUUUAUUUUUUUAAUUGACUCUUUUCCCCCCAAUCUCAUCAUUUAAUAUUGUGUUUGAUUGGGAAUUAGGCUUUAUCAUUUAUUUUGGUUUGCUUUUUAUUAGAUUAUCCUUACCCCAUGACCCGAGAAUAAUGCUUAACGAGUUAAUCUGUGUUGAUUUGGUUUAAUUUUUUUAGGUAUUUUUAAUUAAUUUUUUUACAAAUUUAAUCAUUCAACAUUGAAUCUAACAGAGUUACUUGAGAAUUAAGUUUUAUAUAUUUUUUUUAUAAUUUGCUUUAUAUAAAGUUAUAUCAGUCUUAUGAUCAAAAUCACAGAUUUGAUAGGUUAACUCAAGUUACUUUUUAGGUCUUUAAUAUAUAUAUAUAUAUAUAUAUAUAUAUAUAUAUUAAUUUUAUCUUUUAAUAUUGGAUUGAUUGAAAAUUAAACUUUAUAAUUUAUUUUAAUUCACUUUUUAUAAGAUCAUUAUAAUCUCAUAACUCUAGUAAUGAAUUUGAUAUGUUAACUUGAGUUAUUCAAAUCAAUUCAAUAUGUUUUUUUAUUUUAAUAUUAAAAAAAUAUAUCAUCCUAAAUUUUUUUAAUUAAAUUAUAUUUUCAUAUCUUUAGACAUGCAAAGUCAACCCGAACACAAUUUAAUUUUUUUUCACUAGAAAAAAAACAUUAAUAAUAUCUAAAUAUUUAUUUUAUGUUAAAGAAAUUUUUGACCCACCUACAAUGUAAUACAAGUUAACAAUCUAAGUAGGAUUUAAAUUUGAAAGACAAAAUAUAAGGAAUUGACAUAAAAAUUAAAAUUUGCUUAGAGCAUGUUUAAUACUAUAAUAAUAUUUACUUUUCAAAAUAUUUUUUAUUUAAAAAUAUAUUAAAAUAAUAUUUUUUUAAAAUAUUUUUAAAAUCAACACAUCAAAACAAUAAAAAAUAAUAAUUUAAAAUAUAUUUUUUUAAAACAAAAAUUCAGACUUCCAAAAAGAUAAUUUCAACUAGAAAAUGUUGUUUUAGACGCCAGAGCUGGAAUUUAGACGCUAGAGCUGAUUAAGAGAGAAUUUAGACGCCAGAGAGAAUCCAUUCAAACACCAUUCAACCAUGUGGGUGCUCCUGCAAGCAAUUUGUGAAGCAUUGCUUGAGGUUAAAAUUUUUUCAGGAAUGAACAGACAAGAAUUGAGUUCCAAGAUUAUUCCAUCACAGAAGCAGCAGCGCAAAUUCAUUACAAGACUUCCAAAUCUUUACGAUGUCCUGACAUCUCAUUGACAGGAAAGAGACUUCAAAAAGCAAAUCCUACGAGUUAUACAUAAUUUUAUAUUCAGAUAUCCAGAAUGCACAUAAACUUAUAUCAUACUUUCACUAUGAUACUGUCAGGAGGAGGAGGAGGAGGAGAGUUAUUUAAUACGUGCUUUUUUUCCCAGAAGAUCUGCUAGAGGAGGGUUUCAAGUUUUAACCAAAAAAAUCUGAGAUACACUUUUCCACAGCUUUGGAAACUAGAAAAUGAUUGUUGAGGGCAAACACUGAAAAAAGUGACGAGUUACCCUGUUGUUUCAGUUGCUAAGCUACUCAAAUGAGCUGGGCUUUAUUUAUGAAAUCAACAAGAGCUCCCUAAAUUCAUAUAAACAGAGUGCUAUCACAAAUCAUAUUUUAAGAAAAGCCUAAAAUAAUGCACUUAUGGUGAGCUCCAACACACGCAGUCUACAUAAACAAAACAGAGAACACUUGAGAUGAGCAAGUCUCUGUCAAAAUUAAAUUUGACAGAAACUGAGAGGACCAGUAUAUUUACUGGAACACCAUACCGUUAAAUAUACCCUCAAUCAGAUUUUGAGAAAGCCCUUCUCCUUCAAGCUCUCAAUAGUGUCUACGAGAGACAUAUCAAGUGGAGUGAAGUUGAUACCCAAAGUUUUUGCUUUCUCUUUGGACACCUGGUAUGGCUUGAACCUGCUUUCUGUACUUCUGCAACAGUUGAAAAACAAUAUACUGGUGCUAAGUUCUGUGACGGGUCAAAGCAAUUGCUUCUAGAAAACAAGCCAGCACAAGCGAAAAAAGGAUAACCAUCCAACUACAAUACAGAAAAAAAGGUACAGGGUUUGCUUGUGAUUACACAUUUUUGGUUUUCAAAAUGUAGCUCUACCUUCAACUUUACCGGUUGUCCUCGAAGGGACUGGCUCUACUUUCAUGUUCAAAACAUACUUGUAUUUUUAAUAUUUGUUCUUUUCAUGGUUUAGUUUCUAAAACAGGGAAAGCAUAAGAUGGUUCUUAACAUAUUUCUUAUAACUAAUCUAAACUGCUGUUCUGAAUUGGUGGCAUAACUUCAGAAUUACUAUUAACAAGUAGCAUUCCCCUCCCCUCCCCGCCCAAGCUGGCUUGAAUGUGAAAUCUUCUCUACAAGCCCAUUGGCUAUCAAAUAUCAACCAUCCAGAUUAAUCAACAAGGCCACAUUAACAUGAAAAUGGUUCAAUUUGAACAUUUUAAAUGACUCACUUUUCAGGAAGGCGCAAAGUAGGAUAGUUUUCACGGAUGAUCUUCAGAACCUCAGAAAAGGUUAUGACAUUUGCUGACAAACCAUAUCUGCCACUAGCUGAAGGAAUUUCAAAAGCUUGUAUGUGUGCAUUUGCAACGUCUCUAACAUCGAUGCACGUAUAAUAUCCAUCUGGGUAUGUCUCAGCUCCUGCACCAAAAACAGAUUACAUCAUGCGAACCAAACAAAACAUGCAGCCAGUAAGGACACUAACAGUUCAAGGGAAAGUUCUUUAAACAGCUAUUAAGGACAGGUUCAAAAUUUGGUAGUCAAUAUAUUGAUAAUAUAAUCAUUGUUAAAGUGAUUUGCAGGAGAAGAUGUACAAUAUGCUUCCGGGUGGAAACUGAAUGCAUCUGCCACAAUUCACAAUCCUAUAUGUAAGAGAAUUUUAGCUUAGUAGGGUGAUGUUUUGGCACAUCUAUAUCGAACUUGUAAUGAAAUGCAACUAUCACACAUCAGUAAAGCCUCAAUGGAAUGACAAGAUCACAUGGGAUAAUUUCUCAAGAAAGCAACUCAUACUCAAAACAAAAGAUCGUGAAAUGACAACUGAGGGAUAACUUGCUCUAUCAGUUGGAGGUGUAGAGGCCUUCUAUUUAGAUUUUUCCCAUACUGGAAGGUUGCUACAGGGAUUUUAAUGUUAGAUGGAGAGAGUAUUAAAUGCUUCAGAUACAAGCAAAAAGUUGCUGAAGAUCAUUACCAUUGACAAGGUCGAGAAUCAUCUCCACACUGAAAUUAAGAGUUGGCUGUAAAAGAGGGCCAAUCACAAAUGAUGGAUGCACUGUAACCAAGUCAGUAGCAUUCUCUUUUGCAAAAUUCCAAGCAGCCUCCUCAGCUAAGGUUUUUGAAAGUGCAUACCAAGCCUGGGAAAGAACACAAAUUCACAUUAGCAAAUAAUAGGUGAAGAACAAUACAGGAGACAAGAUGAAAGAAUGAAAGAUUUAGUUUUUAGCUUACUGAGCAAGCCCCAAAGGGUCCUCCAUGUGGAAUUUGAAAAGAAUGCAACUAAAAAUUCCUCUAGAAGGAAAAGAAAACCCUAAGAUAUCAUCAAAUAAUACACACCUUCAAUUCCUUACAAAUAGCUGGAUCUGAAUGCCAGGUCUCGUCAAUAACCACAUCAUGGUUCAGAGGCUUUCCACUAUAUAUACAUGCUGCGGUUGAAGAGGUUAAAACCACUCUCCUGAUAGAAUGAACUUUUGCACAUGAUCUAAGAACAUUUAGUGUUCCUUUCAAGGCAGGAUCAAUUAGGUCAACCUGUAACAAAGAAAAAAUUAUUGGAUUGUCUUUUUUUUUUUACCUUCCUACUCGUAGUUUUAAAACAGUAACACAUCAGGUAUCAAGAGGUUAAUUAAAAAAAAAAAAAACCCUAGUUUGAACAAGGGGGCAGGGUGUCCCGCUAGGAGUUGUUUGACGUGAUUCUCGAGACUUGAUGCUAAGAUUGGUGGCAAAUCAGAUGAAUCAGUGAUGAUAAAUGAUAAAUGGCAGCAGCAUAUACGAGGGAAGAACCUGUGGGUCGUCAUUGGGUGAAAAAGAAACAGGGGAAGCUGUAUGAAAAACACCUUCACAUCCAUCAACAACAGGAUCAAAAGCCCCUUCUUCCAAUAAAUUAGCCUUGAACAAAUGAAGUCUUUCUUUAGCUCCGUCAAGUGCAAGCAAGUGUUCUGUUUUCUUUGGAUCACCUGUAACAAAAUAAUAGGAGUACAUAAAAAAUAAACGUGACCAAAUAGAGCUCAAAAGGAGAGAGAUAGAGAGUGAGUUACUGACUCGGGUCACGGACAGUGGUUUUGACAGUGUAGCCAUGUUGAAGCAAAAGCUUAACUAGCCAUGAAGCUAUGUAACCUGACCCUCCCGUGACACACACCACCUUGCCGUCCCCACCUCUGCUCAUCGUCUCUGUGCCAGUGGCGACUGCCCGGUAACUGACAAGAGAGCGUAUUCCUUAGUAGAAUGUUAAUAGGUGAAGCAAAACUUUAGAACAUACUCUUACAAGGUAUUCUUGUAAAGCUGGUGGACCAAACACCUGGUAGAAACAAAGGGUGACGCUCUCUGCUCUAUCUUCGUCCAAUAAUAAAUAUUAUGUAUUUAUUUAAUGAUUUAUGGUUU